CAGACGACCAAAUUUCCAGCAGAGAUAUGACAACGUCAAAGGCCGAGGUGUUGCCAAUAUAAAUAGCUCCAGUCUCGUUUUUCUGGCUUUUUAAUCGUCUGCUUCUAUGUGGUUGCCGAGACGGCUUGUUGUUAUUUUCCAAUUCAUUUCCCUAUGGCAUGUUCUAGGUACAUAAAAAUGUGGGCAUAUUAUGCAGUACUGAUUUCGGUUUUAACGACUGCAAUAGUAUCCCUAAAGAUAGAGGACAAACUGUUAAUCGAAGAGCAUCCUGACAGAGUCAUAUUUAGAACACGGCUCUGUCAGCCUAUCUCGUCAGAUGUUCUCCAGUCCAUUUUAGGAACCGACUACGAUCACACAAGAAUGGCGUCCACGUUGGAUCACGCCAAGCAGCUCACAAGCCGUCGCCGAAGGUCCCUACUCCCCGCAAAGGCAGCCGACUCCCAAACAACAGACGGCACUGGUAGCGAAAGUGACGCUGCCGGAGAAAACUGGUUUCUGAGACGACUGCAACACAGAGCAGCCUCAGAGCAGCUCUCGCCGCCGUGGGAGUGCAAGAUGGCGUACAGAACGAGACAAAACGGGAUCGGCAUGUUCCCGCAGUUCAUAGUGGAUGGCCAGUGCUUGACAAAGAAAUGCUUCUACGACCUAUACCAGUGUGACCCGGUAAAAUAUUCCAUGAAGAUCUUAAAGAAAGAUGUGAACAGAUGCAAUCCCAUGCCAGUCUUAUCCAAUGCCACUGUCUACGAGGAGCGUUGGACCAUUGUUACACAGCAUGUGACGGUAGCAUGUAACUGUGUCUCUUCCUACAGACACAGAUCUCCGAUACACAGAAAUAUGGUUCAGAAAGGAGGAUGACCCAUUUAGAACUUCUUAAUUGCUGCUUCACUUCACUAUCAGCGCUUGUUGACAGAUGAACACUUGGCUAUUGAGAUGAUAGAGAUUUCCUUCAGUUGGGAAAGUCUCUGCAGUGAAGACUCGGUCUCCUUUUAGUUUUGGAGAUUAGCUAAGAAAGUAAACUUGUUGAUUCAGCAAGCGUGAAAACUUCAGCAUGGUCUCAUCUUUCAACCUGGAGUACGAUGGACCUGAGAUUAACUAGAAUGGAAUAAAUAUCUUAUAUUGACAAGUUUUUUUUUUCUUUUUAGAAAAAAAAAUUAAGUCCAAUAGUUAUUUAUGUGUACCUAGUCAUUAUUUUUAAUGAUUAGAGCUCAAAUUAAACUGACUUAAAGUUGUCCAGCUGUACAUGCUAUUGUAUCUGUGUUUUUAUAUUCCUUGAGGCUGGAUGUUUAAACCUAUAUGAAUAGUGUUUAAAGAUAACAGAUGUUUUGGGUAGUGUACAUCAUUACGGAAACUAUCUCACAAUUCACAAGAGUAUGCACUCUAGUUGUCACCAAAAGGAAAGCAUAAGUUUGCUUUUUCUUGAAUAUUAAAGUCUUACAAUUCAAGACUCGCUACAGAAUUAAGUUUAUCGAAUUUUAUCAUAUUGCAAUUUAAAUUUAUUAACAAAAUGAAUUCUUAUUUUAUAUGUGAUACUACUGACAAAUGUACAGUUCGGAUUGUCUUUAGAAUUAACUUAUUCAUUCAAACUCUGUUGUUGUGAGUUUAAAUUGUGCCAUUAAUUGUUAUUACUUUUUUAAAGUAUUUGUAAUAUUUAUAAUUGUCUAUAAUAAUCAUCUUGUUUUUUCCCUAUUGGGAUGCUUUUUUGUUCAAUAAAUUACGCCUAUUUUAAAGGCAAAAUAUUUUAAAAAGUGGCCUAACACAAAAUCUGUUUAAAUUGGUGGUGUGACUGUGAAUGACUUAACAAUAGCUCUGACAGUCAAUGAACUAAGCCUAAUAGCCUAUGAAUGUUCUAAAUGAAUGAUCAGCCUAAGCAGUUUCUGCCAGUCACCCAUACCUAACUAAUAGUUUAGGAUUGUAAGUGUAUUUUCGCUUAUGUGUUAUAGACCAUGGCUUUUGAGAUGUUUCUCUUUUACUCCAUUCUAUUACGUCACGUGAUGGUCUGACCUAAGUAAAUGUUGGACAUUUUAAUUAAAAUUUUAACCUUGUUCGUUUACUUAAUAAAUUUUAUUGAUGUCAUUCAUAAUGUUGUUGUUAUUACUAAAACUGGGCACCACUGACUAAAGACAAAUUAUGACAAAACGGAAAAUAUAGACAUACAGACAUAUACAUAGAAAACUCAAGAACUUGUGGCUUUUAAGACUUACACUAAGACUUACAUUAAAAUG